UUAGAAUUUUUAGAGCUUGUUUGAAUAAUUUUUAUAGAAUAUCAUUUCUAAGGGCAAAAACAUAAUUUUUUAUUUUGUGAGAUUUUGCUAGGACUGAAGGGCCCAGGAGGGGCUAUGUGUUGUUGAUGAGAUAUGGGUUGAUUUUAGAAGUGUGAGUUAAACUACUUUGCAAGUUGAGUAUGUCCUACAUACAGGGAAGACACUGUCGGAUUUCCGGCAUAAAUUAGGGUAUCCUUAUUUCUUUAAAUUUUUAAUUUGGGUUAGUACUAAUAAAUUUAAAACAUUAUUAUCUAAGUGAUCAGGGUCAUCCAUCCUUCUCCCCUCAGCCACCACAGCAGUUUCUGGUCAAUCAGUGAGUAGAUAUUGAUUUUAUUUGUAAUUUCAAUAUUAUUAUUUACUCAAGGCAUGCUCAUGAUCACUUAUACAUAUAUGUAUAUAGUUAAAUAUUAGGCACACCUUUUAUUGCAUUUGUGCUUGUUGACAUUGCUGCUGUUGUUAUUUUAUGGCGAUCUGGAGCUGUGUGUGUGAGUGGAUGUGUAUAUGGAUAUGGGCAGGAUGGGUAGAUGAAGUUGGAGCUAGACUCGCUGGGACCCGAUCCUUAUAUAUGGAUAAGUAGGGGUGAGCACGACUUUGAGUUGAUCUCGCUGGCCUCCGC
rnacentral:misc_RNA from 1 species